GACGAACUGUCCUAACGUUGUUCGGAAUCACUGGGCUUAAAGGGCGCGUAGGCGGUCCGUCAAGUCAGGGGUGAAAUCCUGCAGCUUAACUGUAGAAGUGCCUCUGAUACUGAUGGUCUGGAGGGAAAUAGGGGUGUGCGGAACUUCCAGUGGAGCGGUGAAAUGCGUUGAUAUUGGAAGGAACGCCGGAGGCGAAAGCGGCGCACUGGAUUUCUUCUGACGCUGAGGCGCGAAAGCCAGGGGAGCAAACGGG
rnacentral:rRNA from 1 species